GAUGAACGCUAGCGGCAGGCCUAACACAUGCAAGUCGAGGGGUAGAACACUUCGGUGUUUGAGACCGGCGCACGGGUGCGUAACGCGUAUGCAAUCUACCUUGUACAGGGGAAUAGCCCAGAGAAAUUUGGAUUAAUGCCCCAUAGUAUAUAACCUUCGCAUGUUGGUUAUAUUAAAGUUCCAACGGUACAAGAUGAGCAUGCGUCCCAUUAGUUAGUUGGUAAGGUAACGGCUUACCAAGACGAUGAUGGGUAGGGGUUCCUGAGAGGGAGAUCCCCCACACUGGUACUGAGACACGGACCAGACUCCUACGGGAGGCAGCAGUGAGGAAUAUUGGUCAAUGGUCGCAAGACUGAACCAGCCAUGCCGCGUGCAGGAAGACGGUCCUAUGGAUUGUAAACUGCUUUUGACAGGGAAGAAAUCACUUAUGCGUAAGUGUCUGACGGUACCUGUAGAAUAAGCACCGGCUAACUCCGUGCCAGCAGCCGCGGU
rnacentral:rRNA from 1 species